GACGAACGCUGGCGGCGUGCUUAACACAUGCAAGUCGAGCGGUAAGGCCCUUUCGGGGGUACACGAGCGGCGAACGGGUGAGUAACACGUGGGUGACCUGCCCUUAGCUCUGGGAUAAGCCUGGGAAACUGGGUCUAAUACCGGAUACGACUCCAUGACGCAUGUUGUGGGGUGGAAAGCCUUGUGCGGCUAGGGAUGGGCCUGCGGCCUAUCAGCUUGUUGGUGGGGUGAUGGCCACCAAGGCGACGACGGGUAGCCGGCCUGAGAGGGCGACCGGCCACACUGGGACUGAGACACGGCCCAGACUCCUACGGGAGGCAGCAGUGGGGAAUCUUGCGCAAUGGGCGAAAGCCUGACGCAGCGACGCCGCGUGGGGAUGACGGCCU
rnacentral:rRNA from 1 species